CAUUGAACCAUCAGAAAGCAAAGGUCGCUAUCCCAGCCACCUGUGAACAAAGUUUUGGAUUUUGGAGCAUUUUGGGUUUUUUUCAAGGAGAGAUACUGAACCUUUAUUGACCUUUUCCCCAGCUGCAGGGGUUCUUCAUGUCAGAGUGUGAAUGUUUAACAGAACCAGUUUGUUUUGACAUUGUUAAGCUUCAAAAAGCAAAGCAUAAUAUGUAUGCUAAUAUUUCCAGUAUGGUAAACAUCACUUAAAAUGAAGAUAUGACAUUUUAUGAGCUGUUGCGCAGCCAUUGGUACCUGUAUUGGGGAAAUAUAGCAUACAAGCAAGAACCUCACAGCCUCGGUGGCGAAAAAUUUUUCAUGUCAGAGACCGAGAACUCUUGCAGUCGUUUAUGUCAUCACGUCUUCUCCAGACAGAAGAUACCAAAAAGUUGCAAUCAAAGAUCUCUCCAUCUUAUUGAUAAAGCCACUAAUAAGCCAAAAUGUCUGUCAAUGUCAACCGCAGUGUGUCCGAUCAGUUCUAUCGCUACAAAAUGCCCCGUCUGAUUGCCAAGGUUGAGGGCAAAGGAAAUGGGAUAAAGACAGUUAUAGUCAACAUGGUUGACGUUGCAAAGGCGCUUAAUCGGCCUCCUACGUGUAAGUUGAUACAAUUUAUCUUUGGGCUUCUUAUUACUACAAGUCACUAUAAACGUGUUUCCUAGAGGCUACAAACUGCCUGUAAAUUUAACUUGGAAGUAAAAGGAUCCUUGCAGUAGCUAUGAUAGUCUUAGAGGUUCCAUACACAGCUUUGUAUUGCUGGCAUCAUGAGCUCAGUAGCCCUCGCAGCAGAUAAGAAAUAGCUGUGUGUGCAGCUUUGUGUCACGGUGAUGGCAAGUCCUAUGGUGCACAGUACUUGUAAUUUGGAAGCCACCUUGAGUAUGAGUUGCAAAUGGUAGAGAAAGUGUGGUAUAAAAUUUAUUAAUAACAGUCUAAAACUUCAAAGUGGUCACUAGUUUUGUGUUACCCUAUAUUUCAUAAAAGGCAAUGGUGAACCAGAUGUGAAGUGUGUGGAAAUGCUGUGGUGAUGCAAUUUAUUAAUGUUGUUAGGAGAGAAUGUCAUAAUCUUAAUGAUAAAGUAAUUGGACAGUAAAGACGCGUUCAUAUUGAGAAUUAUAAUUACUGUUUCUGCACAAUCAAAUGAAGCAUG